CUCUGUCUCUGCCAAUUCAUCUUCUUUGUUUUUCUCUGUCUGCGUUUUGGUUCAUUCUCUGGUUUCUGCUUUGUUUCAACUUCCAAGUCACUGAUGAAUUUGUUAUUGCUGUAACCUCUUAGUUUGUUCAGAAUUAUUUGCUUUGUAUGUUCCAUUGUUCAGUACCGUUGAAGUAAGGAAAAACUCAUGUCCAAAAUUCAGGUUGAAAUCAGCUGCCGCUCGGUUCUUUACUGCUACACCCGUCUACUGAAAAUCAGUCAUAAUAAUAACAAAGAUGCUGCUGAUAGAAGAGUUGAUAGAAACAACUUCUUAAAAUUUGAGAUCUCAGAAUUGCAGGAGGUGAGCAAUGAUUGAAGCUUUUCUUUUUGGAUACUCUUACAGACAGUAAAAAAAGGGUGGAGCUAUUCCCUUCUAAAACACCUCCCCCUUCGCAUUGUGCUUUUCCUGUGCUUGUGUAUGACAACUUCAGAGGUAAUCCUAAUGCUGUAGACUAACUUUACUAGACAGAAUACUCUAAUACUGCUCUUGUAAAAAUAUAUCAAUCUCAAGGGGAACUAAUGUUGAAGGAAAGUGUUCUUCCUUUAAUAAACAAAUGUGGAUUUUGGUUAGAACUAUAGUGCUACUUAUAAUUUAGUUGUGGGCUGCAGAUUCAUCUUCUUGCCUUCUCUUUUGGUGCUCCUUCGGUAAAUAAGAAAUGUAAAUGUAGAGAGAUACAUCGUCAAUGAAACUAAUGCAACAAGAAUACCAAGAUCCAAUUAGUACUAGAUAAAAUAGGAGUUUCAACAAGAUCUGGUUUCAACAUUUGUAUUAAAUCCUUUAGGGUUAAUUAUCUAAACACAGUUAUCCCUCUGGUGGAAGUACCACCUAUGCUAAACCUGCAACUGGAAGUGAGCUCAUUGUCCUCUUUAGAUAUUUAGAAUAUGUUGAAUGUGAAAAUCUGAGACGUAUAAACAAGCCAUGGUUCUGCCACUAUUAUUACCCACUUCAGGCAGGAAAUACAGAUCCACUAAUUGAUGUUUUACUUCUUCCUGUCUAUAUUUUGUGUAUGUUAUGACCAUCCAGCUUUCGUUUGAUUUCUUUCCAUCCAUUCUAUUCUUUGUCUUGGUAUAUGAAGUUAUUUCCCAUUAUAUUGGCUCCCUGGAGCUUCAGACCUAAGGCUGCUCAAACUCCUAAGACAAUAUUCAGUAAUUUUCAUAUAAUUUUCUAUACUUCCUCGAUAACGUUCAUUAUACUUACAAAUAUUUUAUUAAUUAUAUUUUUAUUUUCAGCUAAAGAACAGUUCACUUUUUUAAGACACGAGAUACGAAAUAUGCGCAGUCAGUUUUGCUAUCAAGAAUGUAUAGAAGAUUUUAUUCCACACGGAGUAUAGAACAUUAGUUCAUUAACUCUUGGAAAAGGGACAAGGAGCAGCAGUACAAGUAUUGAUAUGUGAAUGGGUUGAUUUCACAUAGAUAGAUUGAUUUCAUGACAGGGACGCCCCUAGGAAGCUCGAGUAUUCCCCUUUUAUCUUUUUUUUUGUCAAUCAGUUAAGUAGCAAUGUACAUAAAGGAAGCUUCUUUCUCUGUAACUUUUUCCAAUGGGGGUAGGAAAUGAUAUCUCCUCCUACAUCUACCACGAAUACUCCAUGAUGAUCCCUAAAUACAAUACUAUCCAACUAUGAUGUGAUUUUUAUCUAUGGGAAAUAUACCUCUCUCAAAGUAGUACUAAAUUACAUUUCUUCCUUCAACCUAACUUCAUAUCCAAAUUGUACGUUAAUCAAAUUUUCAAUGGUUGCUCUGUUUGCAGAGAUCUUUUGUGGAACAGAAGAAGUUAAAAAGAAGAGCUAUUGUAAGUAGAUUCUUUCAUGUUUUAACAACAAAACUUUCUGAUAUUGUUAUCUUGGUUUUGGAAUUCGAAGAUAUAUUAUCAUGCCUAAAAGCUUCUAGGAGUAUUCUCCUAGAGUUGAGACCACUCAAGCAUGCCAAACUUUCUUUUUACUUCUUGGCGUAAUGCGUAUUUUUUAUCAUUUUAAUUUUGUAGCCAGGGCCUUUAAUCCCCACGUUAAUAGACACAGAUCGACCUUUUAAGUAAAUUGAAUUAAAUUUUUUUUGGAUUGUCUUUUCAGAGUAUAGAAUUAUUCUAUUUCAAAGGUGCUGUGUUUUCUACUAAUAAAUAGAUUGGCAGAUGUGGAAUCUCUCUCUCUUCGUUCACCUAAUGUAGCUUAACAAAUAUGAAAUAUGUUCCCUAUGGAGUCCAUUGGGUGAUGCCUGGAAGAGUGGAAGUAUGGAGCAAGUUUGAAAUUGUUGGCAUGGACAGAAAAUAGAAAAAAGACGGACAUAAGUGUAUGGAAAACAAUUCAGAUAUGCAUUUAUGGAUUAUUUUAUUAGAAAAGAAUAAUAGGAUCUUUGAGGGAACUAUGGAAUGUAUUCCUCAUGUAAGAUUUAUUUGCAUUGAGAAUUUGGACUGUUGGAGCAAAAUAAAUGUAUCAUUUGAUAUUUGUAGAUAUCCUGGAAUUUAUGGACUCCUUGCAGGUGUAGAGUGAGUAUAUCAUGUACACGAGGAUCUUUUCUACAGUUUAGUACCUUUUCAUGGAAGAUGAAGAACGUAUUUCUUUGCAACACGCAAUGUUCUAAAUGUAGAUAUUUGAUUAUUAAUUUAAGAUAAAAAUUAAUUACAUCAGCGGAGCUAACUGGUAUAUUUUUGGACAGAUUCAAAAGGUACGGUGAAUGCUUUCCUUCAUGUAAUCUACUUUGUUUGUUAUUGAGUAAUUUGAUUCUCAAAAUGAUGUGUAAUUCCAGAGCUUCACAGGUAUGGUCCUGUCCUUGAAUGCAUUAUCACAAUUAGUGAAGAAUUAUCAUAGCAAAAGAGGUCGCUCAACUGCUUUCAAAAGGCAAAUAUUUGGGUCCUCUUCAUGGGAUUCUGUAGAGACCACAUCCAGAUAUUGAAGCUUGGGUUUACAAGAGGUAUUGACAAUUAAUGAAUGUAGAGACCGCAUCCAGAAGCAACCCUGUAUUUAUAUAACUACAAGGAAAAUUCAACAUUCAUGUAUCUCUUAUCUAACUACGUCCUUUUCUAUGUAGUAUUGAUACCUUUAGUACAAAUUUACCGUAUUGUUUUCUUCCGU